UACGUAGGGUGCGAGCGUUAAUCGGAAUUACUGGGCGUAAAGCGUGCGUAGAUGGUUCAUUAAGUCGGAUGUGAAAGCCCCGGGCUCAACCUGGGAACUGCAUCUGAUACUGAUGGACUAGAGUGUGGUAGAGGAUGGCGGAAUUCCCGGUGUAGCGGUGAAAUGCGUAGAGAUCGGGAGGAACAUCCGUGGCGAAGGCGGCCAUCUGGACCAACACUGACGUUGAGGCACGAAAGCGUGGGGAGCAAACAGG
rnacentral:rRNA from 1 species